GUCUACGGCCAUACCACCCUGAACGCGCCUGAUCUCGUUUGAUCUCAGAAGCUAAGCAGGGUCAGGCCUGGUUAGUACUUGGAUGGAAGAAUUGUGUUGCUAUAAACA
rnacentral:rRNA from 1 species